rfam:gamma proteobacterium BDW918 genomic scaffold scaffold00017, whole genome shotgun sequence.
ACCACCCUGGGAUAUUUGCUAGGCCGUCUAGACCCCUGAGCCGAUGCUUUUAUACCCGGAGCGCUUUAGCCGAGAUCUGUGUGCAUGUCCGCUUGUCGGAAAGCCUAACGAUCUCGCGGAGUGCUCCACCUUGAACCGCUGGGUUCAAGGGCCACGCGGCCAGCGGUAUCUUGGGGCUUUU